GUCAUUGCUCAGGGAUAGAACAUCUGCUUUGCAUACAGAAAGUCUCAGGUUCAAUCCCUGGUAUCUCCA